rnacentral:rRNA from 1 species
CAACAGGGAUUGCCCUAGUAACGGCGAGUGAAGCGGCAACAGCUCAAAUUUGAAAUCUGGCUUUCGGGCCCGAGUUGUAAUUUGUAGAGGAUGAUUUUGAUGCGGUGCCUUCCGAGUUCCCUGGAACGGGACGCCAUAGAGGGUGAGAGCCCCGUCUGGUUGGAUGCCAAAUCUCUGUAAAUCUCCUUCGACGAGUCGAGUAGUUUGGGAAUGCUGCUCUAAAUGGGAGGUAUAUGUCUUCUAAAGCUAAAUACCGGCCAGAGACCGAUAGCGCACAAGUAGAGUGAUCGAAAGAUGAAAAGCACUUUGAAAAGAGAGUUAAAAAGUACGUGAAAUUGUUGAAAGGGAAGCGUUUAUGACCAGACUUGGGCUUGGUUAAUCAUCUGGGGUUCUCUCCAGUGCACUUUUCCAGUCCAGGCCAGCAUCAGUUUUCGCCGGGGGAUAAAGGCUUCGGGAAUGUGGCUCCCCUCGGGGAGUGUUAUAGCCCGUUGUGUAAUACCCUGGUGGGGACUGAGGUUCGCGCUUCUGCAAGGAU